UCUGACGUCACGAGGAACUGUGCUCAGUUACUCCUCCUGCUUUUCCCAGCAGCUUGGUGAACUGGCGGAGUGGAAGCCUCGUAGGAUGCCCAGCCAGCGGAGCCGAGAGGAUGAGGGCCUGUCGGCAGUCAGACGGCCUGGAAAUGGCCUCCCCGCCUCCAGACCAGACCUUUGGCACUGGAAAGAGCCGCCUUUGUGGAGGCCUCUCGGCUUUGGGCCUUGGGGGAACUUAGAUCCUGGGCCACACGCCUGUCCAGAAGAGGCAGAGGGUUCUGCCUCGGAAGGCAAGAUGAAAAUUCUCGAGAAGCUGGACGAAGGCGUGAGUAAUACGAUCUUGGGGCGCCUUUUUGGUGUCGACGAGUCAAUAGUACUCGUGAUGGAGAAAAACACGAGGGCUGUUUGGGCCGGCAUGGAGAGUGUUUUGCCCGACUGCUCCAAGAUUCCCGUGAGGUAGACCCCAAGAAGAUGGAGACCUCGGUAGCCUUUUGAGUGGAGGGGCAGAGCACAGAAGGCGGCCUCUUGACUGCAACGGCCUCUGCACCCAGGCCAAACACAUCUGUAUUGCAUGUGGUGGGAACCAGUGGUCAGGGCGGUUCAGAUAUGUUUCCUGCGAGCCAGGAAUGGUUUGAGAAGUUUAUAAAUAAAUACUGUGAAAUAUAAAGUUGAUGAGGAAGGAAGAACCGUUAAAUCCUGAGUUGGCACCCAAACAGUGCAAGCAAUUGGAGCGACUCAUCAGAGAGAGAAGCAGUGUGCCUCAGCAGGUCCUGAAUACCAAGGAGAUGAGCCUAGUUUGGAAACGCAUGCUUUCCCAUACUUUUAAGGAAAUAGACAAAAAUCUGGAAAGCUUAGAGGAAACUUAAGGACAGCAUUUCCUUCAUUUUGUGUGUCAAUGUCUCCCGUGACAAAAUGAUGAAUACAUUGCUGCUUCACAAAGACCUUAAUUCCACUUUUCUUUUGGAAAAAAGAUUUUUUACAAUACCCUCUUUUUGGAUUGGUUUUUAUAAUUAGAUUAUCCAUGAAACUAAGGUGUGUUUAACAGAAAAAAAAAAAAAGCACAAAAAACUUGAAUUCAGAGUGUUGCCAGUUGUGGAAAAAAGUCCUGGUUACCCUGACUCAUUAUUUGCUCAUUAUUUGAUGUUAUUGGGUUUCUUUCCUUGGAAGACACUAGCUUUCUCCAGCCCUUGAACCAUGGUAUAACUGAGGUAUUACAUCAACCAUAUGUUUGAACACCUUGCUGACUGCAUUGACAAAAAGCUUACUUUAAAAGAAACAUGACAACAAUGCCACAUUUCUGAAGUAGUGGUAAAAGAAGUGAUGAAUGAUAUAAAACCAGCCGUCUUUAAUAAGGCUUAGUGGAAAGAUUGGAAGGAUGUUCUUUGAACGCGUAUGCAUGUUUCCCCAGAGUUAAUGAAGAAGUUGAAAAAAAAUCCGUCUGCAUCAAUAUAAAGGAAAGUGAAAAUAAUGAAUUACUAAAGUUCCAAUCUUUGGGAAUAAUUUAGAGUCUAUAUCCAUAGAUGAUGAAGACCAGUCCCCAACUAGAGGUAAAGAUGAAUCUAAAGAAAUUGCUGUCUUAAACGAUGCCUCAGAUUUCAUUGAUUCUGCAGUUGAUACAGAUCCUUUCUUGGAUUGAAGUUUGACAUUUAAAAAAGAUUUCAGAGCUGGUUGCGGUUGCGCAUGUCUGUAAUCCCAGCAGCUGGGGAGGUUGAGGCAAGAGGAUUGUGAGUUCAAAGCCAGCUCCAGCAAAAGCGAAGCACUAAACAACUCAGUGAGACCCUGUCUCUAAAUAAAAUACAGAAAAGGGCUGGGGAUAUGGCUCAGUGGUCCAGUGCCCUGAGUUAAUCCUAGUGCAAUCCCCCAAAAAAGAUUACAGUAAAUUGCUGUAUGUCUAUAGAGAGGUGCAAAAGAAACUUAAAGGAACUGAAGGAAGAAAUAAACAAUAAAGGAAGUGAUAAGGGAGAAAUAAACGAAGUAAAUGAUAGGGAUGGGUGUAGUAUCUGUGUUGCAGGGGAAGUCUGAGUCUUACUUAAAGUCAGCCUGAAUCAAUUCCAUAGGGAGGAGGAGAAGGAAAGAGAAAAGGUAUAGAAUAAAAAGCUUCCUGGCAGUGGCACUAAGACUUGAUAAUAGCUGAAAAAACUGUCAAAGCCAUAAUUGGAGUUCUAAAAUCUAACCUUGGAAUUGAAUUUGGAAUGAGUAGAGAUGUCUGAGUUGAAGGACAGAGCGGAUCCAGAGGUUGCUUCUUCCAAAUAACACUUCAUCUUAUUAUCAUUCUCUCAUUACCUCAACAUCACCUUCAUCACUACCAUCAUCUUUGUAAUCACCAGACACAUCUGUAACACUUAGUCAUUCAACAGAUAUUGAGUGGAAAUUCUGUAUAGUCCUGUUCUAAACUUGGGAAAUCAACUCAGGAAAUAUCUGAGGAUCUGAGGUAAAUGGUCAUUAACAGUACCCAUUCUUAUGGAUGAUUGGUAUGAGAGAUCAUGGCCCCAGUUUAUUUUAGAGGGCUUAAAAUACAAAGGUUUUCUUAGGACCAUUCAGCCUCUAACCAUAUAUGUUAAAUUUUUCAGUUACAAACAGGUGUUGGUGGUUGACAUGAGACUGUUUCUUUUUGAAAUGGUGACAUGAUCAUACAUUUUAUAAAGCACUCAACAUUAAUCUGUUAAUCCUCACUCCAGACAUAUGAAGGAAGUUAUUAGCCCUGCAUUUAUCAAAAACCUCCCUUCAAACCCAGAGAGGUUAAGAAACUUGCUGGAGUCUGCACAGCUAAUGUAAACAACAGGAUUAGGAUUACAAAUGAUUAACUACUUUGUCAGACAUUUUCAUAAGUCUAUCACGCCUUUAAGAAUUUGUAGUUGUUUGAUCCUCAGCACCACAUAAAAAUAAGAUAAAUAAAGGUAUUAAUAUUUUAAAAAAAUAAAAGAAUUUGUAGUCUUAGCCAGGCAUAGUGGCGCAUACCUGUAAUCCCAGUGGCUCAGUUUGGGAGGCUGAGACAGGAGGAUCUCAAGUUCAAAGCCAGCCUCAGCAAGUUAGCAAGACCCUGUCUCAAAAAAUAAAGAGAGUGGCUGGGGUUGUGGCUCAGCAGUAGAGCGCUCGCUUCGCACAUGCGAGACCCUGGGUUCGAUCCUCAGCACCACAUAAAAAUAAAUAAGUGAAAUAAAGGUAUUGUGACCAACUACAACUAACAAAAAAAAAAUAAAUAAAAAUAAAAAUAAAUAAAAAGAGCUGGGCAUGUGGCUCAGUGGUAAGUGCUCCUGGGUUAAAUUCCCAGUAGCCCCAGAAAAGGAAAUUGUAGUCUCAACAAGUGAGACAAAUGAACAGGUGAUGAGAAUAAACAGGGAAGCUAUGAACUGCAAAUCUGCAAAUAAGAUUUUGUUGUUUUCCUUCCAUUUUGAAAAUUUUUUCAAUUGUUUUUCAGUAUUUCCUGUUUUGUGUAAGAAACUAUUUACAUACAAUAGAAUUCACCUGUUGAAGUGUCCAGUUGAAUUUUUUUCAUACCUGUGUAACUGCCAACAGAACAAUUAAGAUGUAAAAUGGUUCCCUGAAACAGUUUACCUGUGCACUAAAGCUUUUCCUCUGUGCUAACUUGCCAUCAUUUUAAAAUUGGGAUAUUUCACAUUGAAAAGCUGCAAAGAGAAAAUAGCAUAUGAAAAGGUGUAUAGUAAAGGGUUAGAGUCUGUAAACAAGUCAAAAUAACACCUGGCAUUUAGCCAGGGGAAUGUUAGAGUUGGUAAACAAGUCUGGCUGGUGCCUGGCAAAAUGCCAGAGGGAGUGGUUUGAGAAGUAACAAAAGCGAGCCAUUAAGUGUGGAGAUUCCUUAUUGGUUGACUGAUGUAUCUAGUUUAUGCUAAUUAGAUAAGCUGUGUGGAAUGUAUAAAUACUGCUCCUGUCCUGCAAUAAACGGCUCCUACUCCUGCUGUAUCAACGUACACAAGUUGUUCGUCACCCCCCGGUUAUUUUGCUGCAGCUGGACUGCGGCAGUAAAGGACAUAAAUAUGAAGGCAUUAUAAUAAAA
rnacentral:lncRNA from 1 species